AACGACUCUCGGCAACGGAUAUCUAGGCUCUCACAUCGAUGAAGAAGUAGUGAAAUGCAAUACUUGGUGUGAAUUGCAGAAUCCCGCGAAUCAUCAAGUUUUUGAACGCAAGUUGCGCCCGAAGCCAUUCGGCCGAGGGCACGUUUGCCUGGGUGUCACGC
rnacentral:rRNA from 1 species